AAUAUAAAAGAUCAAACUACCUAAAGGAGAAACUUGAAAGUAAAAGCUACGAAUAUGACUAUGGAGUCUUUAGGCAUCCCCUUCGUCGUCCUCCUGCGGAACCGGCUCGGGAACGAUGUCCUCUUGAUCUGAAAUGAUUAAAUAAGGAAUGAGCUACACUAGCCCAGUAAAGACAUCACGAUAUCUCACCGUCACGGAGGUAAAGGU
rnacentral:lncRNA from 1 species